GCUUCGGCUGCACAUAUACUAAAAACAUUUUUCAAAAUUGGAAUGAUACAGAGAAGAUUAGCAUGGCUCCUGCGCAAGGAUGACACACAAAUUUGUGAAGCAUUCCAUAUAAAA